UGCUGUUUUCUUGUCAUCUUCACUCUCCUCCCAGGCUGCUCAGAGCAGCAGUACUGGGAGCAGAGGUAGGAAGAGGACACCUCUGCUUUGAUCCCUGCAGGAAGGACAGCCUCAAUCCCUGGCACCACUUUUGCUCCUGCUCUGAGUCAGGGUGAGGUGCCAGCGGUGGCUCCAUGCCUCAUGUUAUGCUGUGCAGCUGUGAUACCCUGUCUGAGCAGAGCACAUGAACUACUGCGGGGCUGCUGGUCCAAGAGAAGCACCUAUAUGUGGGACAAGAGUCAAUUUGUUUAGACCACUGCAAGACUGACCAUGCCUGGACUGAGAAUAGUGAAAUAAAUACCAUGUCAACCCUUCA